CUAGCUACUGAAUCUUUGAUGUGUCAUCAAAGAUAAUGUAAAGGAAAAUAAUGAUAUUACUUUACUAAUAGUGUCGUCCAAAUACUCGUGCCAGAAGACUCGGUAAGGCGAGAGACGCAAACGUUAUUCGUCUUGAUCAGGCGUAAAGGGUGUGUAGGCUGCUUUAAGUGUUUAUAGUAAGACCUAUUGAGAUAAUUAAGCAAAAUGUACCCGUAAGUACUCUUAGUUAUUUCCUUAUUAUAAAUCAAUUAAAGCUAGAAUCUAAAGGAGGUUAAAACAAUACUUAAGGUAGGAGUACUAACCGUAAAUAUUAAGCAGAGUUUUAAAGGCGAAGGCAUUUAUCCAAUAAAGAUUGACGCUGAGAAACGAAAGUGAGGGCAGAAAAAAGGAUUAGAGACCCUUGUAUUCCUCACUGUCAACGAUGAAUGGUAGUUACUAGUUAGAAAUAAACUAGAGGCAAUGUUAACACGAAAACCAUUCCGCCUUGUAAGUACAACUGCAAAGUUGAAAACAAAAAAAUUAGUCGGUUUCGGAGCAAACGAAGUGAAGCAUGUUAUUUAUGAGA
rnacentral:rRNA from 1 species